rnacentral:rRNA from 1 species
UGGGGAAUAUUGGACAAUGGGCGAAAGCCUGAUCCAGCAAUGCCGCGUGAGUGAUGAAGGCCCUAGGGUUGUAAAGCUCUUUUACCCGGGAUGAUAAUGACAGUACCGGGAGAAUAAGCUCCGGCUAACUCCGUGCCAGCAGCCGCGGUAAUACGGAGGGAGCUAGCGUUGUUCGGAAUUACUGGGCGUAAAGCGCGCGUAGGCGGUUUUUUAAGUCAGAGGUGAAAGCCCGGGGCUCAACCCCGGAAUUGCCUUUGAAACUGGAAAACUUGAAUCUUGGAGAGGUCAGUGGAAUUCCCAGUGUAGAGGUGAAAUUCGUAGAUAUUCGGAAGAACACCAGUGGCGAAGGCGACUGACUGGACAAGUAUUGACGCUGAGGUGCGAAAGCGUGGGGAGCAAACA